GUGUCAGCCGCCGCGGUAACACGUAGGGGGCGAGCGUUGUCCGGAUUUAUUGGGCGUAAAGAGCUCGUAGGCGGUUCGCUAAGUCGGGUGUGAAACCUCCAGGCUCAACCUGGAGACGCCACCUGAUACUGGUGUGACUAGAGUCCGGUAGGGGAGUGUGGAACUCCUGGUGUAGCGGUGAAAUGCGCAGAUAUCAGGAAGAACACCAGCGGCGAAGGCGGCACUCUGGGCCGGUACUGACGCUGAGGAGCGAAAGCGUGGGUAGCAAACAGGAUUAGAUACCCGCGUAGUCC
rnacentral:rRNA from 1 species